AUUGAACGCUGGCGGCAGGCUUAACACAUGCAAGUCGAGCGGAGCGAGGGUGCUUGCACCUUAGCUUAGCGGCGGACGGGUGAGUAAUGCUUAGGAAUCUGCCUAUUAGUGGGGGACAACAUUCCGAAAGGGAUGCUAAUACCGCAUACGCCCUACGGGGGAAAGCAGGGGAUCUUCGGACCUUGCGCUAAUAGAUGAGCCUACGUCGGAUUAGCCAGUUGGUGGGGUAAAGGCCUACCAAGGCGACGAUCUGUAGCGGGUCUGAGAGGAUGAUCCGCCACACUGGGACUGAGACACGGCCCAGACUCCUACGGGAGGCAGCAGGGGGGAAUAUUGGACAAUGGGCGGAAGCCUGAUCCAGCCAUGCCGCGUGUGUGAAGAAGGCCUUUUGGUUGUAAAGCACUUUAAGCGAGGAGGAGGCUCUUAAGGUUAAUACCCUUGAUGAGUGGACGUUACUCGCAGAAUAAGCACCGGCUAACUCUGUGCCAGCAGCCGCGGUAAUAC
rnacentral:rRNA from 1 species